rnacentral:rRNA from 1 species
AGUGAACGCUGGCGGCGUGCUUAACACAUGCAAGUCGAACGAGAACGGAUUAUAGCUUGCUAUAAUUGUCAGCUAAGUGGCGCACGGGUGAGUAAUAUAUAGGUAACGUGCCCCAAAGAAGAGGAUAACAGAUGGAAACGUCUGCUAAGACUCUAUAUGCCUUUAUGACAAAAGUCAGCAAGGGAAUAUUUAUAGCUUUGGGAUCGGCCUGUACAGUAUCAGUUAGUGGUGAGGUAAUGGCUCACCAAGACAAUGACGCUUAACUGGUUUGAGAGGAUGAUCAGUCACACUGGAACUGAGACACGGUCCAGACUCCUACGGGAGGCAGCAGUGGGGAAUAUUGCACAAUGGACGAAAGUCUGAUGCAGC